GUCCAAGGGGAAGACAUUCAGACCUGGCUCUGAAGGAAAUCUGUGUCACCAUGCAUUCUUUUAACAGAGUGAAGGACACUUUUGCCAUGAAAAUGGUUCCCGGAUUUGGUAAGCUGGUACAGCCUUUUUCAAAGCUGGCCCUCGGUGCUGCCCACCCCAUUACCAAGCCACACAAGAGCUCAGACGUCUUAUCUAACGCGAGAGCCGCCUCAGAGCUCCACCAAGGACAGACGGGCUGUGCUGGCACCAACAAGCAGCUGACAGGGCUCGGCCCCUCAGUGGGAAAGCUGCUCCCACACGCAUGGCACCGUUCCAGCCCAACCCUGGGCCAGCGAACACUGCUGGGGCUGAUUCCACAACGAGGCAGGCAAGGCCUGUGGGGUCACCAGGGCCGAGCACCUUCUGGAACACAGGCCCCUGGGUCUGAGCCAGGGUGGGGACCGCGCGGCCGCCCAAUCCCCCAGCGCCUCUGACAUGGCUGCACAGCCUCCUUGUGGUCUGGGGGCCCAGCCACGGAUCCUCCACCACCCCACCCUGAUCCUCUCCCUCACAGGCACGGGGACUCUUCCCUGCCCUGCACCCCUUCUCUGGGAAGUCCAACCCCUUCUCUGAGCCCCAGAAGACGCUGGUGCGGAGGAGCUGCUCUGAUGCGGUGCCAUCACAGCCGCCACCCUCACCGUGUCCCCGCCACCCUCAGCGUGUCCCUGCCACCCUGCAAUCUGCAAAGGCAGGGGCCUCCCUCCAGCCUGCGGGACCCACACACGCAGCACAGGAAGCCUGCAGCCCCUCCACAGGGGGCUCGGAGAC
rnacentral:lncRNA from 1 species